rnacentral:rRNA from 1 species
GAUGAACGCUGGCGGCGUGCCUAAUACAUGCAAGUCGAGCGAAAAGAUGAGGAGCUUGCUCCUCUGACGUUAGCGGAGGGCGGGUGAGUAACACGUGUAUAACCUACCUAUCAGACUGGGAUAACUUCGGGACACGGGAGCUAAUACCGGAGAAUAUAUUGAACCGCGUGGUGCAAUAGUAAGAGACGGUUUUGGGGUCACUUAUAGCGGCAUCUGAGCCGCAUUAGCUAGUUGGUAAGGUAACGGCUUACCAAGGCAACGAUGCGUAGCCGACCGGAUAGGGUGAUCGGCCACCCUGGAGCGUGGACACGGUCCAUACGCCUACGGGAGGCAGCAGUAGGGAAUGUGCCGCAGUAGGCGAGAGCAUGACGGAGCAACGGCGCGUGAGUUAUGAAGGCCUUCCGAGCGUAAAGCUCUGUUACGAGGGAAGAACAAAUUUGGAAGUAACUAUGCACGUCUUGACGGUACCUAAUCAGAAAGCCCCGGCUAACUACGUG